CAUCUUUCUCACCUCUUCCUCAGUUUUCUUCUAUGUCUCUAUGGUAUCCUCAAGCUCGCUCUUCGCCUCAGACUCAAGACCUUCAAUCGAAUCGAAGAAUGGCACAGUCGCUUUUACAUUUUUGAUCGGACUCAAGAAUCAUAUUUAUACGUUGUUGAUACAAUGUGGCGAAGGCCCAAAGGUCCAUCCUCUACUCUAUGGCCCUCUUUACCGUCUUUGUAUGUUUGCAAAGCUGAAACACAUACAAGAAAUUAUGAAUUGUUGGCAAAUCAACUAUAAGAAUCAACUAUUUCUUAUUUAAGCAAGUAGAUUUUGGCAUUGAAGUUGAGAACGAUGUUGGUAUAAAGAAAAAGUUGAGAGCGAAUGUCUAUUGAUGACGAUGACGAAAAUCAUAUGGAUGAGUCAUAAGAGGAGUUUUUCAAUGUGAACCGGCAGCUGCCUGAAGAAAGUCAAGAGCGGUGGAUCUUUAAUUUCUUAAUUUCUAUAAUUUAUGCAUAUUUUAGAACAAUGGUUGAAAUAUAACCAUCUUUUCUAUGUUUAAUCUUUUGUGUAUUACACUUUUUAUCGUUAUGCUCUAUGAAUGAAAUGUUCCUCUGUAUAAAACUCUGUGGUAAUCAUCUUUGCAA